rnacentral:lncRNA from 1 species
GGGCCAUCUUUCUACUGGCUUUCCCAGGUCAUAGCAGAAAGCUGGAUUCAAAAAAGGAGUUACCCAGGAAUCGAAGCAUCACUCAUUUGGGGUGGUGGCACUGCAGGUGACAGCUUUACCCGCUACACCACAGCACUGGCCCCUAGAGAUGUAAUUAAAAGGGAGAUGAAUGAUUACCAUCUAGUCAAUUGAUUCCUUCCAAAGAAGUUCCAGAAGCCAGAGAUAAAAGAUGUCUCAGAGAUCUGAAACAGCAGAGACUGGCUUGAAGAAGAAAACUGUCUAUAUUGGUUAGCUUUUUGCUACUACAAUUAAAAUACCUGUGAGGAGUUACUUAAUCUCAACCCAAGAAAAGUAGAUAUAAGGUUUCCCAAGAGGACACAAUGAGGUCACUUGUGCCUUGAUUUCUUUUUUUUUAACUUUUAUUUAAUGAAUAUAAAUUUCCAAAGUACAGCUUAUGGAUUACAAUGGCUUCCCCCCCAUAAUGUCCCUCCCACCAGCAAACUGUUGAAAUCUUUAAUUUAUGCUAAACUGAUCUUCUGUAUAUAAAGAGAAUCGAAAAUGAAUCUUGAUGUGAAUGGAAGGGGAGAGGGAGUGGGAAAGGGGAGGGUUGUGCCUUGAUUUCUAAGAGGAUCUUUGGGGAAGGAGUGGGAGAGAAGAAAAAUGUCUCACAGAGACUCUCUCCAUCUAUGUAGUGUGCUAACGAAGUAGGCAGGCAUACAAGUUACAAUCGAUUAGGUUUAUGAGCUGGAAGACCACGCCUUUGCCACACCCCUAUGUGACCUCAUGGCCUACCUGAUACCUUCACCAUGCCCCUGUGUGAGCUCACACCCUACCUGGCCACACCUGGGUGCCCACCAGCCAAUCAGGUUAAUUAGCCACUCCCCUUUGGAAAUGGGAUAAAAGCCUGGGACAUGGUGUGUCCCAGCCCUUUUCUGCUUCCCUGGCCUCUUGCCAGGAGGGGGCUUGCUAUAGCCCUGCACCUCCAAGGCGUGUGGCUUUUGGGCCACCCACCCUAGGCUUCCUAGUCUAGAUGCUCCUCCACGUGGCUGGUUCCUGGUGCUCACUAAAGGGUUAUUAGUCUUAAUAUAUAAAGAAGUUCAACAAAUUGAUACAAGAAGUACAAUAGCACCUGUAGAGAAAUGGCAUAAAAAGAUUCCACUAAAAAAGUUACAAAUGCCCAAUAAGACAAUGUACUGCAAGGUGUUCAAAUUAAGACAACAUUUCUAACUCUUCAAAAAAUAAUUAAAAACAAGUUGUUCAAUUUUCCCAAAGGACAAACUGCAGAUUUUUCAAUAUUCAACCUACUUUUCAAAAGUGUCUCAAGCAAUUAAGUAAUAGAAAGAAAUUCAAGGCAAGAAUAUUGAAAAGGAAGGAAAAUAAAACUAUCUCUAUUCAUAGAUGAUGUCA